UACGUAGGGUGCAAGCGUUGUCCGGAAUUAUUGGGCGUAAAGAGCGUGUAGGCGGCCAGAUAAGUCCGCUGUGAAAUCUCGAGGCUCAACUUCGAGCUGUCGGUGGAAACUAUCUGGCUAGAGUCCGGAAGAGGAGAAUGGAAUUCCUGGUGUAGCGGUGAAAUGCGCAGAUAUCAGGAGGAACACCGGUGGCGAAGGCGGGUCUCUGGGCAGUAACUGACGCUGAGGAGCGAAAGCGUGGGGAGCGAACAGG
rnacentral:rRNA from 1 species